GCUCAACCCCGGACUUGCAGUGGGUACGGGCAGACUAGAGUGUGGUAGGGGAGACUGGAAUUCCUGGUGUAGCGGUGAAAUGCGCAGAUAUCAGGAGGAACACCGAUGGCGAAGGCAGGUCUCUGGGCCACUACUGACGCUGAGAAGCGAAAGCAUGGGGAGCGAACAGGAUUAGAUACCCUGGUAGUCCAUGCCGUAAACGUUGGGCGCUAGGUGUGGGACUCAUUCCACGAGUUCCGUGCCGCAGCUAACGCAUUAAGCGCCCCGCCUGGGGAGUACGGCCGCAAGGCUAAAACUCAAAGGAAUUGACGGGGGCCCGCGCAAGCGGCGGAGCAUGCGGAUUAAUUCGAUGCAACGCGAAGAACCUUACCAAGGCUUGACAUAUACCGGAAACAUCCAGAGAUGGGUGCCCCUUUUUGGUCGGUAUACAGGUGGUGCAUGGUUGUCGUCAGCUCGUGUCGUGAGAUGUUGGGUUAAGUCCCGCAACGAGCGCAACCCUCGUUCUAUGUUGCCAGCACGUAAUGGUGGGGACUCAUGGAAGACUGCCGGGGUCAACUCGGAGGAAGGUGGGGAUGACGUCAAAUCAUCAUGCCCCUUAUGUCUUGGGCUUCACGCAUGCUACAAUGGCCGGUACAAUG
rnacentral:rRNA from 1 species